UACGGAGGGUGCAAGCGUUAUCCGGAUUCACUGGGUUUAAAGGGUGCGUAGGUGGGUUGGUAAGUCAGUGGUGAAAUCCCGGAGCUUAACUUCGGAACUGCCUUUGAUACUACCAAUCUUGAAUACUGUGGAGGUAAGCGGAAUAUAUCAUGUAGCGGUGAAAUGCUUAGAUAUGAUAUAGAACACCGAUAGCGAAGGCAGCUUACUACGCAGUUAUUGACACUGAGGCACGAAAGCGUGGGGAUCAAACAGG
rnacentral:rRNA from 1 species